rnacentral:sRNA from 1 species
GCGACGAGCUGUCAAAUGGCCACGCGAGCCUAGCACGCCGACUUCCGUUUUAUAUUCGUUCUUUCGUUCUCAAACCGUCGUCCAGACCAGAAGGAAAAUGAGAGCUAAGUGGCGUAAGAAGCGUAUGCGUAGGUUGAAGCGUAAACGCAGAAAGAUGCGUGCAAGGUCCAAGUAAUCGCAGCGCCAUUGCCCACUAAAUGGAACUCUUGAUUGAUGCUAACACACCGAAACGAAAAACGCCGACUGGGUCGCCCCAAAAAAGUGGCCCUCAUGUAAUUUUGCAAACCAGUUUUCACACAAACGUACAUGUGCAUUUAAAAUUCACGUAAAAAUUGAUUCUAAUAAAUUACUGGAUUUUCGCCAAGGUUCCACAACUAAA